GAUGAAGAACGCAGCGAAAUGCGAUAAGUAAUGCGAAUUGCAGAAUUCCAGUGAGUCAUCGAAUCUUUGAACGCACAUUGCGCCCUUUGGUAUUCCGAAGGGCAUGCCUGUUCGAGCGUCAUUAUCACCCCUCAAGCCCUCGGCUUGGUGUUGGAAGGUUUGGUGGAGGCCCCCUCGGGGGCUCCUGCCCCUCCCAAAGACAAUGACGGCGGCCUCGUUGGACCCCCGGUACACUGAGUUCUUCACGGGACACGUAUCGGACACAUGGGUUUACGGGACACGGUCUGCCUCCCCUCAGGGAGAAUCUUUCUAAGGUUGACCUCGGAUCAGGUAGGGAUACCCGCUGAACUUAAGCAUAUCAAUAAGCGGAGGA
rnacentral:misc_RNA from 1 species